CCCCGAGGAAAAGAAAUCAACCGAGAUUCCCCCAGUAGCGGCGAGCGAACGGGGAGGAGCCCAGAGCCUGAAUCAGCAUGUGUGUUAGUGGAAGCGUCUGGAAAGUCGCGCGAUACAGGGUGACAGCCCCGUACACAAAAGCGCAUGUGUUGUGAGCUCGAUGAGUAGGGCGGGACACGUGGUAUCCUGUCUGAAUAUGGGGGGACCAUCCUCCAAGGCUAAAUACUCCUGACUGACCGAUAGUGAACCAGUACCGUGAGGGAAAGGCGAAAAGAACCCCGGCGAGGGGAGUGAAAAAGAACCUGAAACCGUGUACGUACAAGCAGUGGGAGCACAGGUUUACCUGUGUGACUGCGUACCUUUUGUAUAAUGGGUCAGCGACUUAUAUUCUGUAGCAAGGUUAACCGUAUAGGGGAGCCGGAGGGAAACCGAGUCUUAAUUGGGCGUUAAGUUGCAGGGUAUAGACCCGAAACCCGGUGAUCUAGCCAUGGGCAGGUUGAAGGUUGGGUAACACUAACUGGAGGACCGAACCGACUAAUGUUGAAAAAUUAGCGGAUGACCUGUGGCUGGGGGUGAAAGGCCAAUCAAACCGGGAGAUAGCUGGUUCUCCCCGAAAGCUAUUUAGGUAGCGCCUCGUGAAUUCAUCUCCGGGGGUAGAGCACUGUUUCGGCUAGGGGGCCAUCCCGGCUUACCAACCCGAUGCAAACUGCGAAUACCGGAGAAUGUUAUCACGGGAGACACACGGCGGGUGCUAACGUCCGUCGUGAAGAGGGAAACAACCCAGACCGCCAGCUAAGGUCCCAAAGUCAUGGUUAAGUGGGAAACGAUGUGGGAAGGCCCAGACAGCCAGGAUGUUGGCUUAGAAGCAGCCAUCAUUUAAAGAAAGCGUAAUAGCUCACUGGUCGAGUCGGCCUGCGCGGAAGAUGUAACGGGGCUAAACCAUGCACCGAAGCUGCGGCAGCGACACUGUGUGUUGUUGGGUAGGGGAGCGUUCUGUAAGCCUGUGAAGGUGUGUCGUGAGGCAUGCUGGAGGUAUCAGAAGUGCGAAUGCUGACAUAAGUAACGAUAAAGCGGGUGAAAAGCCCGCUCGCCGGAAGACCAAGGGUUCCUGUCCAACGUUAAUCGGGGCAGGGUGAGUCGACCCCUAAGGCGAGGCCGAAAGGCGUAGUCGAUGGGAAACGGGUUAAUAUUCCCGUACUUGGUGUUACUGCGAAGGGGGGACGGAGAAGGCUAUGUUGGCCGGGCGACGGUUGUCCCGGUUUAAGCGUGUAGGUGUGUGUUCCAGGUAAAUCCGGUUCACUUUAACACUGAGGCGUGACGACGAGGCACUACGGUGCUGAAGCAACAAAUGCCCUGCUUCCAGGAAAAGCCUCUAAGCAUCAGGUAACAUCAAAUCGUACCCCAAACCGACACAGGUGGUCAGGUAGAGAAUACCAAGGCGCUUGAGAGAACUCGGGUGAAGGAACUAGGCAAAAUGGUGCCGUAACUUCGGGAGAAGGCACGCUGACACGUAGGUGAAGUGAUUUACUCAUGGAGCUGAAGUCAGUCGAAGAUACCAGCUGGCUGCAACUGUUUAUUAAAAACACAGCACUGUGCAAACACGAAAGUGGACGUAUACGGUGUGACGCCUGCCCGGUGCCGGAAGGUUAAUUGAUGGGGUCAGCGCAAGCGAAGCUCCUGAUCGAAGCCCCGGUAAACGGCGGCCGUAACUAUAACGGUCCUAAGGUAGCGAAAUUCCUUGUCGGGUAAGUUCCGACCUGCACGAAUGGCGUAAUGAUGGCCAGGCUGUCUCCACCCGAGACUCAGUGAAAUUGAACUCGCUGUGAAGAUGCAGUGUACCCGCGGCAAGACGGAAAGACCCCGUGAACCUUUACUAUAGCUUGACACUGAACAUUGAGCCUUGAUGUGUAGGAUAGGUGGGAGGCUUU
rnacentral:rRNA from 1 species